rnacentral:rRNA from 1 species
AUGCUCGGUCGCAUCCGACACACUGUGCGGCAGACCUGCAAAUGCCCCUGGAAAACCAAAAUUCAGGACAAGUACAAGGGACGUUUCACUACAUACUUGCUCGGCAUGGUGAAAGACUCACCCACCGUAAUUUUCUAG